CCACGCUGUAGCAAACUAGCAGCAUGGCACAAGCCAGGAGUUGGAUCUGCACACUCAGCAUUUCUGCAGAGUAACCGCGCCUGGCAAACACUUUCCUACGGAGUCGAAGGAGAGCACCACACUUUUCAGGAAAAGUUGACUCAACAUGUGGCUCCCAGCAUCUUUCAUUUAAAGACUACUGCAAAAGAGCAAAGUUCCAGGCACAGGAAACAGGGGGAAAGGAACGUAUGAUACUUAUCGUCACAGGACUGUGCCUCUAAUCUUAAUCAAGAUGGAGUGAAGAUAAGCAGAAGUACUGGAUAAGGAGAUAUUGCAUCAAAUCAGAUGCCCAACUUUCAAACAAAAGAAUAGAAGGAAAUGUUACCCAGACUCUGCAGAUGAGGGAACUGAACAGAGUGACUUGCCUCAAGGCCACAGAGGGAGUAAGAGCUGGAUUUAGAUCAGCCAUUUCUGGUUUCUAGCCUGGUACUUAGUCCAUUCUGCCUGUAUUGCAAGAAUGCUCAUGUCUCAUUUCACCAUUAUAUGUAAAAUAUUUUAGGAAGUGCUUUUUUUUGAUUAGGUAGAAAAAUACUUUUAACACAAGAAAAUACAGUACUGUGUGUAACAUCUCAGUCUGCUAAUAUUCCAGUAUGUAUGGCUUGAUUCCCUCAUUUGUGGUUUUAAAUUAUACCACAAAGUGAUAUUGUGUAUAUAUAGUGAUAUU